rnacentral:rRNA from 1 species
GCAAGUCGAACGAGAAAGUUUUCUUCGGAGACGAGGAAAGUGGCGCACGGGGUAGUAACGCGUGAAUAAUCUACCCCCGAAUUUGGGAUAACAGUUCGAAAGGGCUGCUAAUACCGGAUGACAUUGUCUUUUUUACGGAUUAGAUGAUCAAAGAGGGCCUCUCCUUGGAAGCUUUUGUUUGGGGAUGAGUUCGCGUUCCAUUAGCUUGUUGGUGGGGUAAUGGCCUACCAAGGCUGCGAUGGUUAGCUGGUUUGAGAGAAUGAUC